rnacentral:rRNA from 1 species
AUGAACGCUGGCGGCGUGCCUAAUACAUGCAAGUCGCGCGAACGGACGAGAAGCUUGCUUCUCUGAUGUUAGCGGCGGACGGGUGAGUAACACGUGGAUAACCUACCUAUAAGACUGGGAUAACUUCGGGAAACCGGAGCUAAUACCGGAUAAUAUUUUGAACCGCAUGGUUCAAAAGUGAAAGACGGUCUUGCUGUCACUUAUAGAUGGAUCCGCGCUGCAUUAGCUAGUUGGUAAGGUAACGGCUUACCAAGGCAACGAUGCAUAGCCGACCUGAGAGGGUGAUCGGCCACACUGGAACUGAGACACGGUCCAGACUCCUACGGGAGGCAGCAGUAGGGAAUCUUCCGCAAUGGGCGAAAGCCUGACGGAGCAACGCCGCGUGAGUGAUGAAGGUCUUCGGAUCGUAAAACUCUGUUAUUAGGGAAGAACAUAUGUGUAAGUAACUGUGCACAUCUUGACGGUACCUAAUCAGAAGGCCACGGCUAACUACGUG